CACGUAGUUAGCCGGAGCUUAUUCUACAGGUACUGUCUUUUUUCUUCCCUGUCUAAAGCAGUUUACAAUCCGAAAACCUUCUUCCUGCACGCGGCGUCACUGCGUCAGAGUUUCCUCCAUUGCGCAAUAUUCCCGACUACUGCCUCCCGUAGGAGUCUGGGCCGUAUCUCAGUCCCAAUGUGGCCGUUCAACCUCUCAGUUCGGCUACUGAUCGUUGACUUGGUAGGCCAUUACCCCACCAACUAUCUAAUCAGACGCAAGCCUAUCUAUCAGCGGAUUGCUCCUUUCCCAUUUGUAUCAUGUGAUACUCAUGGCAUAUGCGGUAUUAGCAGUCAUUUCUAACUGUUGUUCCCCUCUGAUAGGUAAGUUGCUUACGUGUUACUCACCAGUCCGCCACUAACCGCUCCAAUAGUAAACUAAAGGUUAAUUCGUUCGACUUGCAUGUCUUAUGUGCGCCGCCAGUCGUUUAUCCUGAGCCAGGAUCAAACUCU
rnacentral:rRNA from 1 species